rnacentral:tRNA from 1 species
GUGGUUGUGGCUCAGUGGUAGAGCACUUGCCUAGUAUGUAUGAGCCACUGGGUUUGAUCCUCAGCUCCCCCA